GUUUUUCUUAACUAUCUGGUUGGGACACAGGGCAGCAUUGACCUCGAAUGGUUAAGAAAUUGUCCACCUGAGAAAGCAAAGGAGUACUUGUUAGAAGUAGAUGGAUUGGGAUUGAAAAGUGUGGAGUGUGUGCGACUUUUGUCACUUCACCACGUAGCCUUCCCGGUCGAUACUAAUGUUGCUCGCAUAGCAGUGCGUCUUGGUUGGGUUCCCCUUGAACCAUUACCCGAAAAUCUUCAAAUACAUCUGCUUGAAAAGU